GCAUUAAACCAAGCUCAGGGCCCCUGAGUGCGGGGCUCUGUACAAUUGCACGGGUUGCUCACCUGUGAAGCUGGCCCUGCGGCCGUGUGUGCCUGUGAGCUUAUACCUUCGCAUACGUGCGUCCUUGUAUUUAUAGCAUGUGAGCUCAGCCCGAUGGCAUCGCAAUUUGUAUGCAUUUCACCUGCUUGCCACCAAUGAGAGCGUAUGUGUAAAACUUCCUCCCUUCCCCAGAAAAGUAAAUCACGCAGACUUCUUUCCUAUAGAUUUGGAUUGCCUCUAGUCAUGAAUGAGUCUUCCAGACAGGGAAAUUGAUACGGAAAUCUGUGGAAUAGCUUGUUUGUGGUGGGAGGAAAAUCAAGGACAUAUUGUUAACGUGUUUUCACCUACUUUUACUGCACACCUGUAAUGCCUAGUUCGGUGGUUUAGAGAAUAUGGAGUGUUUCUGGGCUUUCUUAUAAGGCAGAGGCUCCAUACAAGGUUGCUGAUGAUUGUUCUAAAUUCCCAUUGUUUUCUUGGCUUUUCUCCCUUGGUUUAUGUGUCGUCUGGAAACUGAUUUGUAGUUGGUGAGGUAACAUACGUGGAGCUCUUAAUGGACGCUGAAGGAAAGUCAAGGGGAUGUGCUGUUGUUGAAUUCAAGAUGGAAGAGAGCAUGAAAAAAGCUGCAGAAGUCCUAAACAAGCAUAGUCUGAGUGGAAGACCACUGAAAGUCAAAGAAGAUCCUGAUGGUGAACAUGCCAGGAGAGCAAUGCAAAAGGUGAUGGCUA
rnacentral:sRNA from 1 species